GAUGAACGCUGGCGGCGUGCCUAAUACAUGCAAGUCGAGCGAACAGACGAGGAGCUUGCUCCUCUGACGUUAGCGGCGGACGGGUGAGUAACACGUGGAUAACCUACCUAUAAGACUGGGAUAACUUCGGGAAACCGGAGCUAAUACCGGAUAAUAUAUUGAACCGCAUGGUUCAAUAGUGAAAGACGGUUUUGCUGUCACUUAUAGAUGGAUCCGCGCCGCAUUAGCUAGUUGGUAAGGUAACGGCUUACCAAGGCAACGAUGCGUAGCCGACCUGAGAGGGUGAUCUGCCACACUGGAACUGAGACACGGUCCAGACUCCUACGGGAGGCAGCAGUAGGGAAUCUUCCGCAAUGGGCGAAAGCCCGACGGAGCAACGCCGCGUGAGUGAUGAAGGUCUUCGGAUCGUAAAACUCUGUUAUUAGGGAAGAACAAAUGUGUAAGUAACUAUGCACGUCUUGACGGUACCUAAUCAGAAAGCCACGGCUAACUACGUG
rnacentral:rRNA from 1 species